rnacentral:lncRNA from 1 species
UUGGCUGGGCAUCAGCUGGCCAUGCUUUAGUUAUUUGAUGGGAGGAAAAAUAAGUGGGAGGUGAGGAGUAACUCCUGGGCUCUGAUGAGUAUUCAAGGCAAGUACAGAUCUGGAAAGCCUGUAUGCAAAGGAGGAACUCACUGAAAAGUGCUGGCCUGAGGAGGGCAGAAGGGAGGGCUGGGGAAGCCAGCAGCGGGAGCAAAGGAGUAG